rnacentral:lncRNA from 10 species
GCCUCCUCAAAAGAAGCACACACACACACACACAGGCACACACUCACAUGCAUACACACACACACACACACACACACACACAGUGUUCCCUUUGGUGGCCAAGCCUACUGACCUGAGAGAGCCAGGAAGGGAGGGGCUGUAAAUUAGUCCAUGCGUUGCCACUGGGCCUGAGCUCCCCUGCAAGCAAGGAAGGACCUCCCUGGGGCAGAGGCUGAGAGGAAGAGCCUCCCCGGGGCAGAGGUGUGACAGCUGAGCCAGAGCCAGGGGGCAGGGGAAGGUUGGGGGGUCCCUCGGCGUGUUUGUCAGCCCUGACCUCAGUGUGGGAGAACUGUGUGUGGCUCCCACACCAGAAAGGAGAGAGACACCGGGCCAGCUGCUCCUUUGAGAAUCUGCUGCAUAUGGAGGAGCAUGAUUUUUGGAAUGAGCAUAUGGUUUUGGAACCCAAAAAUGUGUGCUGCGAUCCUGAUACCCUUAUUGCACUCUGCACUUGAUGGAUCAGCUGGCAUCAUCCAGAUCAAUAAACUGGCUCACUUGAUCUUGGCCCCCAACCCAGGAACUGACUCAGCGCAAGAAGACUGCUCCAACUCCCUAUGAUUUCAUCUCUGACCAAUCGGCACUCCUGGCUCACUGGUUUCCCCCUACCUACCAAAUUAUCCUUAAAACCUGUGCUCCCCUCCCAAAUGCUCAGAGAGACUGAUUUGAGUAAUAAUAAAACUCUGGUCUCCUGCACAGCC